rnacentral:rRNA from 1 species
GACGAACGCUGGCGGCGUGCUUAACACAUGCAAGUCGAACGGAAAGGCCCCUUUGGGGGUACUCGAGUGGCGAACGGGUGAGUAACACGUGAGUAACCUGCCCUUGACUUCGGGAUAACUUCAGGAAACUGGGGCUAAUACCGGAUAGGAAUCCUUGCUGCAUGGUGGGGGUUGGAAAGCUUCGGCGGUUUUGGAUGGACUCGCGGCUUAUCAGCUUGUUGGUGGGGUAGUGGCUUACCAAGGCUUUGACGGGUAGCCGGCCUGAGAGGGCGACCGGCCAGAUUGGGGCGGAGAUACGGCCCAGACGCCUACGGGAGGCAGAAGGGGGGAAGAUUGCACAAUGGGCGGAGGCCUGAUGCACCAAGGCCGCGGGGGGGAUGACGGCCUUCGGGUUGCAAACCGCUGACAGCAGGGGAAAAGCUUGUGGUGACGGUACCUGAAGAAAAAGCACCGGCUAACUACGUG